UUGGUUAAGUUAGAAAGGGCGCACGGUGGAUGCCUUGGCACUAGGAGCCGAAGAAGGACGGGACUAACACCGAUAUGCUUUGGGGAGCUGUACGUAAGCGUUGAUCCAGAGAUUUCCGAAUGGGGGAACCCACUAUCUUUAGUCGGAUAGUAUCCUUACGUGAAUACAUAGCGUGAGGAAGGCAGACCCAGGGAACUGAAACAUCUAAGUACCUGGAGGAAGAGAAAGAAAAAUCGAUUUCCUGAGUAGCGGCGAGCGAAACGGAAAGAGCCCAAACCAAGAAGCUUGCUUCUUGGGGUUGUAGGACACUCUAUACGGAGUUACAAAAGAAAGUUAUAAAUGAAGCGGUCUGGAAAGGCCCGCCAAAGACGGUAACAGCCCGGUAGUUGAAAUGGCUUUCCCUCCAGAGUGGAUCCUGAGUACGGCGGAACACGUGAAAUUCCGUCGGAAUCCGGGAGGACCAUCUCCCAAGGCUAAAUACUCCCUAGUGACCGAUAGUGAACCAGUACCGUGAGGGAAAGGUGAAAAGCACCCCGGAAGGGGAGUGAAACAGUUCCUGAAACCGUGUGCCUACAAGUAGUUAGAGCCCGUUAAUGGGUGAUAGCGUGCCUUUUGUAGAAUGAACCGGCGAGUUACGAUUUGUUGCAAGGUUAAGCGGAAAAAGCGGAGCCGUAGCGAAAGCGAGUCUGAAUAGGGCGCAUAAGUAACAGGUCGUAGACCCGAAACCAGGUGAUCUACCCAUGUCCAGGAUGAAGGUAAGGUAAUACUUACUGGAGGUCCGAACCCACGCACGUUGAAAAGUGCGGGGAUGAGGUGUGGGUAGCGGAGAAAUUCCAAUCGAACUUGGAGAUAGCUGGUUCUCUCCGAAAUAGCUUUAGGGCUAGCCUCGAGGUAAAGAGUCAUGGAGGUAGAGCACUGUUUGGACUAGGGGCCCUUCUCGGGUUACCGAAUUCAGAUAAACUCCGAAUGCCAUGUACUUAUACUCGGGAGUCAGACUGCGAGUGAUAAGAUCCGUAGUCGAAAGGGAAACAGCCCAGACCACCAGUUAAGGUCCCCAAAUAUAUGUUAAGUGGAAAAGGAUGUGGGGUUGCUUAGACAACCAGGAUGUUGGCUUAGAAGCAGCCACCAUUGAAAGAGUGCGUAAUAGCUCACUGGUCGAGUGACCCCGCGCCGAAAAUGUACCGGGGCUAAACAUAUUACCGAAACUGUGGAUGAACCUCUUUAGAGGUUCGUGGUAGGAGAGCGUUCUAAGGGCGGUGAAGUCAGACCGGAAGGACUGGUGGAGCGCUUAGAAGUGAGAAUGCCGGUAUGAGUAGCGAAAGAAGGGUGAGAAUCCCUUCCACCGAAUAUCUAAGGUUUCCUGAGGAAGGCUCGUCCGCUCAGGGUUAGUCGGGACCUAAGCCGAGGCCGAUAGGCGUAGGCGAUGGACAACAGGUAGAGAUUCCUGUACCAGUGCUAAUUGUUUAACCGAUGGGGUGACACAGAAGGAUAGGGAAUCGCACGAAUGGAAAUGUGCGUCCAAGCAGUGAGUGUGAGAAGUAGGCAAAUCCGCUUCUCGCGAAGCAUGAGCUGUGAUGGGGAAGGAAAUUAAGUACGGAAGUUCCUGAUUUCACGCUGUCAAGAAAAGCCUCUAGGAAGAGUAGUACUGCCCGUACCGCAAACCGACACAGGUAGAUGAGGAGAGAAUCCUAAGGUGAGCGAGAGAACUCUCGUUAAGGAACUCGGCAAAAUGACCCCGUAACUUCGGGAGAAGGGGUGCUCUAUUAGGGUGCAAGCCCGAGAGAGCCGCAGUGAAUAGGCCCAGGCGACUGUUUAGCAAAAACACAGGUCUCUGCAAAACCGUAAGGUGACGUAUAGGGGCUGACGCCUGCCCGGUGCUGGAAGGUUAAGAGGAGUGCUUAGCUUCGGCGAAGGUACGAAUUGAAGCCCCAGUAAACGGCGGCCGUAACUAUAACGGUCCUAAGGUAGCGAAAUUCCUUGUCGGGUAAGUUCCGACCCGCACGAAAGGCGCAACGAUCUGGGCACUGUCUCAACGAGAGACUCGGUGAAAUUAUAGUACCUGUGAAGAUGCAGGUUACCCGCGACAGGACGGAAAGACCCCGUGGAGCUUUACUGCAACCUGAUAUGGAAUGUUUGUACCGCUUGUACAGGAUAGGUAGGAGCCGAAGAGACGUGUGCGCUAGCAUACGAGGAGGCAAUGGUGGGAUACUACCCUGGCUGUAUGACCAUUCUAACCCGCCACGCUUAGC
rnacentral:rRNA from 1 species